UACGGGGGGGGCAAGCGGUUGUUCGGAAUUACUGGGCGUAAAGGGCUCGUAGGUGGCCAACUAAGUCAGACGUGAAAUCCCUCGGCUUAACCGGGGAACUGCGUCUGAUACGUGGAUGGCUUGAGUUCGGGAGAGGGAUGGCGGAAUCCAGGUGUAGCGGUGAAAUGCGCAGAUAUCAGGAGGAACACCGAUGGCGAAGGCAGGUCUCUGGGCCAUAACUGACGCUGGAGAAGCGAAAGCAUGGGGAGCGAACAGGA
rnacentral:rRNA from 1 species